CCGUCACGCGCGUAUACCCGUCGGCGGCGUGGGUGCCGCCCUCCUCGUGCCUGACGGAGUAGUGCUUUAUCUGGUUGGACUUGCUGAGGGCCUUGUAGAGCGGCAGGAUCGCAGCCCCCGGCACCCCGAAGGCGACCUCGACGCCCUCGUCCUCCAUCACCUUCACGACCGCGUCCAUCACGUUCAUCGUUGGCAUAAUUGCCUCCUUCCAGUCGGCAGCUAUUAGCAGUCAGCUAUCAGCGGUCAGCUGGAGGGCGCGGUUCGUUGCCGCCUAUCGCCUGACGAACCCUUUGCGGGAACGUGGCCGCGAAAAGCGCCGC
rnacentral:misc_RNA from 1 species